rnacentral:lncRNA from 1 species
AUAAAUUGGUCAACAAUUUUCAGCCGUAUGCUUUUCAUCAGAUGGAUUUUUAGGUUCCAACCUUGUCCUCUAACUGUAUAUACUGUGCUUCCUCUUUAUGGCAAUUGGCAAAGGGCUAAAAGACCAUCUCGCUCCCUUGUUCCGUCCAUUUUCCACCGCCUUGCUCCCACCAUUUUUACAGCCCACUGUCAGUCUCGACCACCCUUGAC